rnacentral:lncRNA from 10 species
UCAGACUUUAUGGCAGCAGGCAACCUAUAUUGAGGGAUGAUUUCAUUGCAUAAAAACUUAACUACUGUGUUGGUGGUUUCGUUUUCGGUAGCAAAUGCCUUAGUCUAUCUGGAGAAGGUGUCUACUCGUACUAGAAGGUAUUUGUACUUAGCCUGGUGUGGUUUUACUUCUGUAAAGUCAAUUUCUUACUUUUUUCUUGGCGAGUUUUUUCAGAGACAGUGGCCAGGGCUGGGUUUAGGACUCUGUUUGGCAUUUACAUGAGCGCAGGUUGUGCACUGGAGAGCUGCUUAAUCUGUUAGGCUUUGAAGACGGGGGAUCUUAAAAUGGCUCCGGAGGAGCUGAGGUAGCUUUGCUCUUUUUAAGUGGGUGGUAGACUGUAGGUGACUGAUUAAAGUUUCUUUAAUAGUUCAGGAUAUGAAGAGUCUAGAGUCAGGAAGAAUCUACUAACUUUCCUGAUUUUUAUUGGCUCUGAGAUCUGAAGCCAGUUUUUUGUUGUUGUUGAGUAUAUGGGAUUGUCAGGCAGAUCUGGCUGUGGAAAGGAGACUGUGGGCAGCAAGUUUAGAGGCGUGACUGAAAGUGGCGCUGUGACCUUAGCUGCUGAAUCAGCUUUCUGGUUACUAUGGGCAACAGCCUUGUUUUCUUUUUGAUGUCCUUUGCAGUGGAUCACAGCUACCUGCUGAGAAACUCCUGGAGAGCAGAGCCAUGCCUGCCAUUUCCAUCAUUGCAUUACCACCACCCAGCACAGUGCCUGGCACAAAAGAGUUGCUCAAUAAAUAAAUCAGGAUGAAUGGAUAAAUACACGGACAGGCACUUUGAACUACAGAUGAGCUUAAAUACUUUGUGUUUUUCUUAGUCAAACAUGUGCAAUUAAGCAUGUGAUAAAUUAUAUGAUGACCACACCUGUGUCUUGCCUGAUGAUCUUUGCAAUCACUAAACAAAGUCAAUUUUGCC